UUACAUUUUAUGAUUGGGAGAGUACUUUAUCUGAAAAAAAGCAGCGAGUCGGGAUGGUGGAAGCCGAUUUUUGAAGGAUAAAAGAACCGCACCCAUGAAAAGGCUUGCUGAAACAGAGUAGGCAGGCACGGUGAGCAACCGUUAUCGUGUAUGAGUGACAUUUUUUGUGUCAUAAGAGUGGUACCGUGGAACUAAGCUUUCGCCUCUUUA
rnacentral:ncRNA from 1 species